CCUACGGGGAGCAGCAGUGAGGAAUAUUGGUCAAUGGACGAGAGUCUGAACCAGCCAAGUAGCGUGAAGGAUGACUGCCCUAUGGUUUGUAAACUUCUUUUAUAUGGGAAUAAAAUGUUCCACGUGUGGGAUUUUGUAUGUACCAUAUGAAUAAGGAUCGGCUAACUCCGUGCCAGCAGCCGCGGUAAUACGGAGGAUCCGAGCGUUAUCCGGAUUUAUUGGGUUUAAAGGGAGCGUAGGUGGAUUGUUAAGUCAGUUGUGAAAGUUUGCGGCUCAACCGUAAAAUUGCAGUUGAAACUGGCAGUCUUGAGUACAGUAGAGGUGGGCGGAAGUCGUGGUGUAGCGGUGAAAUGCUUAGAGAUCACGAAGAACUCCGAUUGCGAAGGCAGUUCACUGGACUGCAACUGACACUGAGGCUCGAAAGUGUGGGUAUCAAACAGGAUUAGAUACCCGAGUAGUC
rnacentral:rRNA from 1 species